AUGAAAGCAUGCCAUUUGCAGCAACGUGGAUGGAACUGGAAGUGCCACCUCAUGCCUGCCAGCUUUCCUGUGGAACCAUACUGUGGACCACUUGACUGACCCUUGGGUAGACUGACUGCCAUACCCCACACCAUCCCUUGUCAACUUGAAAAAGCCAAAACAGUCAUCAUCCCUGUUCCCUAACAGCAGUUAGGGGCCCUAUUCCAGGGGGGAGGAAUGAGUAGGGAAAGGGUUAACAUUAAGCAGGGAUAGAUAAAGGACCCUCAGGGAGGUAGGCUUCAGCUGCAAGUGGGAGGCUGAAGCUGCUGUGGGGUUUGGAAAAAAAGGGGGAGCGGGAAUAAAUGCAUUCCAAACCUGCCUGGGCAAGGUGCCAUGAAUGAAGUCUCACAAACUUUCUGAUAAUGUCUCAAUAAAAUCCUUGGUGGCAAUCCAGUUGGGACCCCCUCACUCUUGAGAGCUUUGUACUUUUGCUCAAUAAACUUUAUUGCUUUGUUCACUC